rnacentral:rRNA from 1 species
GAUGGGCAUGCGUUGUAUUAGCUAGUUGGUGGGGUAACGGCUCACCAAGGCGACGAUACAUAGGGGGACUGAGAGGUUAACCCCCCACACUGGUACUGAGACACGGACCAGACUCCUACGGGAGGCAGCAGUGAGGAAUAUUGGUCAAUGGACGCAAGUCUGAACCAGCCAUGCCGCGUGCAGGAUGACGGCUCUAUGAGUUGUAAACUGCUUUUGUACGAGGGUAAACGCAGAUACGUGUAUCUGUCUGAAAGUAUCGUACGAAUAAGGAUCGGCUAACUCCGUGCCAGCAGCCGCGGUAAUACGGAGGAUUCAAGCGUUAUCCGGAUUUAUUGGGUUUAAAGGGUGCGUAGGCGGUUUGAUAAGUUAGAGGUGAAAUUUCGGGGCUCAACCCUGAACGUGCCUCUAAUACUGUUGAGCUAGAGAGUAGUUGCGGUAGGCGGAAUGUAUGGUGUAGCGGUGAAAUGCUUAGAGAUCAUACAGAACACCGAUUGCGAAGGCAGCUUACCAAACUAUAUCUGACGUUGAGGCACGAAAGCGUGGGGAGCAAACAGGAUUAGAUACCCUGGUAGUCCACGCAGUAAACGAUGAUAACUCGUUGUCGGCGAUACACAGUCGGUGACUAAGCGAAAGCGAUAAGUUAUCCACCUGGGGAGUA